rnacentral:rRNA from 1 species
CAGUGCCGCGGGAAUACGGAGGGUGCAAGCGUUAUCCGGAUUUAUUGGGUUUAAAGGGUCCGUAGGCGGAUCUGUAAGUCAGUGGUGAAAUCUCACAGCUUAACUGUGAAACUGCCAUUGAUACUGCAGGUCUUGAGUAAAUUUGAAGUGGCUGGAAUAAGUAGUGUAGCGGUGAAAUGCAUAGAUAUUACUUAGAACACCAAUUGCGAAGGCAGGUCACUAAGAUUUAACUGACGCUGAUGGACGAAAGCGUGGGGAGCGAACAGGAUUAGAUACCCCUGUAGUCCCUGUCUCUUAUACC